rnacentral:rRNA from 1 species
AAUUCGCCCUUAGAGUUUGAUCCUGGCUCAGAUUGAACGCUGGCGGCAUGCCUUACACAUGCAAGUCGAACGGCAGCAUGAUCUAGCUUGCUAGAUUGAUGGCGAGUGGCGAACGGGUGAGUAAUACAUCGGAACGUGCCCUGUAGUGGGGGAUAACUAGUCGAAAGAUUAGCUAAUACCGCAUACGACCUGAGGGUGAAAGUGGGGGACCGCAAGGCCUCAUGCUAUAGGAGCGGCCGAUGUCUGAUUAGCUAGUUGGUGAGGUAAAGGCUCACCAAGGCGACGAUCAGUAGCUGGUCUGAGAGGACGAUCAGCCACACUGGGACUGAGACACGGCCCAGACUCCUACGGGAGGCAGCAGUGGGGAAUUUUGGACAAUGGGCGAAAGCCUGAUCCAGCAAUGCCGCGUGUGUGAAGAAGGCCUUCGGGUUGUAAAGCACUUUUGUCCGGAAAGAAAUGGCU